rnacentral:rRNA from 1 species
UACGGAAAGGGGCAAGCGUUGUUCGGAAUCAUUGGGCGUAAAGGCGCGUAGGUGGUUCUGUAUGUCUACCGUGAAAGCGUACGGCUCAACCGUAUUUUGUCGGUAGAACUGCAGGACUUGAGGCUGGAGGGCUGUGGAAUUCCUGUGUAGCGUGAAUGCGUAGAGAUGGGGAGACACUCGUGCGAAGCGGCCAGCUAGACAGUCUGACACUGAGCGCGAUAGCGUGGGAGCAACAGG